CCUCUCCAUCCGGAUGGCUUCCGUCCGCCGCAGCUUCUCUUCCCAGGUCUCGUUGAGCUCGGCUAUGAUCUUCUCCGUCUCCUGGGCAGCGGAAAAGAGCACACGUCUGAACCUCCAG